GUAUUACGUUUAUUGGUUGAAUAAAGGGUAAUGUCGUGUAUUUUACUAAAGUAUAUGAAAGACGUAUGUAAAGCAUGAGUUUGUGUGCAGUUUUAACAGAUGAAUAAUGUAUACCUUUUGGUAUAUAGGAGUAUAAAUAAAAAUAUAUUCCAUUUUGGCAGAAGAAACAUAAACACGAAGACGAACAUGUGGAUAUAAAGAAUAUCAAAAUUCGAGUCCGGGUGAAGAAAUUAUGGUCGUACGAAGUUGAGAUAAAGAUGUUGUGAAACCACGAUGUGGCAAGAAUGUCACCCCGGCGUGGUGACAGUCAGAAAAAAAAAGAAGGUUUUAAGUACAAAAAUCAAUCGUUUUCACCCCAUUUUUCAAAGGUACGUUAUAGAGAGCAAGAGAGUGCGAUUUUGGGGUCCUGGAGCUUGAUUUGAUGAGGGAUCAAAGGGAGCUGCUUGAGAGAUCAAUGAUUCUUACUUGUGACAAGAAGCAGAUUCGAGAUAUCUAAAGUUGGAAUUCCUAUACACGAAACAUAACCAGAUUUAUGAAGACUUAAAAAGAUUGCAAUGUUAUAGUGAAGAUAUAGUAACACUUGAUUCAGAUUGUUGUUGGAAUUUAUUAUGUGUAAUCCUUAUUGAUAACUACUUGUAUUUAUGAGCAGACAUAAAUGUAUGUCAUAUUCUUUGUGUUUAA